UUCGUUAUUUAGACUUGUAAUUGGACGCGAUUGCCGAGGAAGUGUUGUCGGGAGGGUUUGGAGUUCUUGCUUUGCGUUGACCCUGCAGAAUUGAGCCCGACUUGGGUUGCAUGCUUUCGUGGUACCGACCUUGUGUCUCCUCACCUCUUCCCUCCUUGCACCGACAGUCAAGCCACAGGAUGCCGGGCGUCUCAGCCCAUGGCCUCUCGUGUGAGGAGAGAAGGCAACUGGCUGUGGACCUCACCCGCGUCCUAGCUCUCUACCGUUCCAUCCUGGACGCCUACAUUAUCGAAUUUUUCACGGACAGCCUGUGGGGCACACUCCCCCACGCAUGGCAAGAAGUGCUGGACGGACUGAACCCACCAGAGCUGGCCACCCUGUUGCUGGGGAUGCCCAGGGAAGGGGAGGAGAUCAGAGUUCCUGGAGAACCCCAGCCAGAGCUCCCGGCUAACAGCUCCUUUUCGGAAACAUGUCAAGCCCAAGAAGCAGCAUGAGAUCCGGAGGCUGGGAGAGUUGGUGAAGAAGCUUAGUGAUCUUACUGGCUGCACCCAAGUUGUGGAUGUGGGCUCAGGCCAGGGCCACCUCUCUCGCUUCAUGUCUCUGGGGCUUGGGCUGAUGGUGAAGAGCCUUGAAGGAAAUAAGAGGCUAGUAGCGAGAGCUCAGCGUCUAGACCAGGAG
rnacentral:lncRNA from 1 species